CGCGUAGGAAUCUACCUAGUAGUGGGGGAUAACUCGAGGAAACUCGAGCUAAUACCGCAUAAUCUCUACGGAGCAAAGCGGGGGAUCUUCGGACCUCGCGCUAUUAGAUGAGCCUGCGUCGGAUUAGCUUGUUGGUGGGGUAAAGGCCUACCAAGGCGACGAUCCGUAGCUGGUCUGAGAGGACGAUCAGCCACACUGGGACUGAGACACGGCCCAGACUCCUACGGGAGGCAGCAGUGGGGAAUAUUGGACAAUGGGCGAGAGCCUGAUCCAGCAAUGCCGCGUGUGUGAAGAAGGCCU
rnacentral:rRNA from 1 species